rnacentral:rRNA from 1 species
GACGAACGCUGGCGGCGCGCUUAACACAUGCAAGUCGAACGGAAAGGCCUGCUUUCCCUUGUGGAUUGCGGGUACUCGAGUGGCGAACGGGUGAGUAACACGUGAGUGAUCUGCCCCCAACUUGGGUAUAAGCCUGGGAAACUGGGUCUAAUUCCCGAUAGGACUGCAGGGUGGUGCCUGUGGUGGAAAACGAUUUUCUAGUGGUUGGGGAUGAGCUCGCGGCCUAUCAGCUUGUUGGUGGGGUAAUGGCCUACCAAGGCGGCGACGGGUAGCCGGCCUGGGAGGGUGGACGGCCACAUUGGGACUGAGAUACGGCCCAGACUCCUACGGGAGGCAGCAGUGGGGAAUAUUGCACAAUAGGCGGAAGCCUGAUGCAGCGACGCAGCGUGGGGGAUGACGGCCUUCGGGUUGUAAACUCCUUUCGACCGCGAGGAAGCCACCUGGUUGGAAGGGUGGUGACGGUAGUGGUAGAAGAAGCACCGGCUAACUACGUG